GACGAACGCUGGCGGCGUGCUUAACACAUGCAAGUCGAACGGAAAGGCCCCUUUGGGGGUACUCGAGUGGCGAACGGGUGAGUAACACGUGAGUAACCUGCCCUUGACUUCGGGAUAACUUCAGGAAACUGGGGCUAAUACCGGAUAGGAAUCCUUGCUGCAUGGUGGGGGUUGGAAAGCUUCGGCGGUUUUGGAUGGACUCGCGGCUUAUCAGCUUGUUGGUGGGGUAGUGGCUUACCAAGGCUUUGACGGGUAGCCGGCCUGAGAGGGCGACCGGCCACAGUGGGACUGAGAUGCGGCCCAGACUCCUACGGGAGGCAGCAGUGGGGAAUAUUGCACAAUGGGCGGAAGCCUGAUGCAGCAACGCCGCGUGCGGGAUGACGGCCUUCGGGUUGUAAACCGCUUUCAGCAGGGGCGAAGCUUGUGGUGACGGUACCUGCAGAAGAAGCACCGGCUAACUACGUG
rnacentral:rRNA from 1 species